GAUGAACGCUGGCGGCGUGCCUAAUACAUGCAAGUCGAGCGAACAGACGAGGAUCUUGCUUCUUUGACGUUAGCGGCGGACGGGUGAGUAACACGUGGAUAACCUACCUAUAAGACUGGGAUAACUUCGGGAAACCGGAUCUAAUACCGGAUAACAUGUUGAACCGCAUGGUUCAACAGUGAAAGACGGUCUUGCUGACACUUAUAGAUGGAUCCGCGCCGCAUUAGCUAGUUGGUAAGGUAACGGCUUACCAAGGCAACGAUGCGUAGCCGACCUGAGAGGGUGAUCGGCCACACUGGAACUGAGACACGGUCCAGACUCCUACGGGAGGCAGCAGUAGGGAAUAUUCCGCAAUGGGCGAAAGCCUGACGGAGCAACGCCGCGUGAGUGAAGAAGGUCUUCGGAUCGUAAAACUCUGUUAUUAGGGAAGAACAAAUGUGUAAGUAACUAUGCACGUCUUGACGGUACCUAAACAGAAAGCCACGGCUAACUACGUG
rnacentral:rRNA from 1 species